rnacentral:rRNA from 1 species
UGAAUACGAGAUGCUACGGCGUCGAAGCAGUCUAUGUCAUACUUCCAAGAAAAGCUUGCACCGUCAUAAACAAAUAAUGCCUGUACCAUAACCGACACAGGUGGGUAGGUAGAGUAUACUAAGGGGCGCGAGAUAACUCUCUCUAAGGAACUCGGCAAAAUGACUCCGUAACUUCGGGAGAAGGAGUGCCUUAUUUAUAAGGUUGCAAUAACAAGAUCCAAGCAACUGUUUACCAAAAACACAGGUCUCCGCUAAGUCGUAAGACGAUGUAUGGGGGCUGUCGCCUGCCCAGUGCCAGAAGGUUAAAGAAGUUGGUUAGCAUCCGCGAAGCUGAUAACUGAAGCCCUGGUGAACGGCGGCCGUAACGAUAACGGUCCUAAGGUAGCGAAAUUCCUUGUCGGGUAAGUUCCGACCCGCACGAAAGGCGUAAUGAUUUGGAUACUGUCUCGGAGAGGGGCUCGGUGAAAUAGACUUGUCUGUGAAGAUGCGGACUACCUGCACCAGGACAGAAAGACCCUAUGAAGCUUUACUGUAACCUGAAAUUGAAAUUGGACUUUACUUGCGCAGUAUAGGUGGGAGGCGUUGAGAAUAUUCUUGCGGGAUUAUUGGAGCCAUCAGUGAGAUACCACUCUUGUAAUGUUAGAUUUCUAACUUUGUAUCAUUAUCUGGUCAAAGAACAGUUUCAGGCGGGCAGUUUGACUGGGGCGGUCGCCUCCUAAACGGUAACGGAGGCGCACAAAGGUUUCCUCUGAACGGGUAGAAAUCGUAUCUAGAGUGUAAAGGCAUAAGGAAGCUUGACUGUGAGACCUACAAGUCGAGCAGGGACGAAAGUCGGUCUUAGUGAUCUGACGGUGCUGAGUGGAAAGGCCGUCACUCAACGGAUAAAAGUUACUCUAAGGAUAACAGGCUGAUCUCCCCCAAGAGUUCACAUCGACGGGGAGGUUUGGCACCUCGAUGUCGGCUCAUCGCAUCCUGGGGCGGUAGUACGUCCCAAGGGUUGGGCUGUUCGCCCAUGAAAGCGGUACGCGAGCUGGGUUCAGAACGUCGUGAGACAGUUCGGUCCAUAUCCGGUGUAGGCGUUAGAAUAUUGAGAGGAGCCUUCUUUAGUACGAGAGGACCGAGAAGGACAUACCUCUGGUGUACCAGUUAUCGUGCCAACGGUAAACGCUGGGUAGCUAUGUGUGGAGUGGAUAACCGCUGAAAGCAUCUAAGUGGGAAGCCCACCUCAAGAUAAGUAUUCUCAUC